AAGGAUUUAAGUUAAAUUAAAACUCGGAACCUUCAAAGUUCCAAAUAAAGAACCUCUUUAAGCCUUA
rnacentral:tRNA from 1 species